UACGUAGGGUGCAAGCGUUAAUCGGAAUUACUGGGCGUAAAGCGUGCGCAGGCGGUUGGGCAAGACCGGGGUGAAAUCCCCGGGCUUAACCUGGGAAUGGCCUUUGUGACUGCACGGCUAGAGUGUGUCAGAGGGGGGUAGAAUUCCACGUGUAGCAGUGAAAUGCGUAGAGAUGUGGAGGAAUACCGAUGGCGAAGGCAGCCCCCUGGGAUAACACUGACGCUCAUGCACGAAAGCGUGGGGAGCAAACAGG
rnacentral:rRNA from 1 species